rnacentral:misc_RNA from 1 species
GAUGAAGAACGUAGCGAAAUGCGAUAAGUAAUGUGAAUUGCAGAAUUCAGUGAAUCAUCGAAUUUUUGAACGCAUAUUGCACCUUAGAGUAUUCUUUAAGGUAUACCUGUUUGAGCGUCGUUUACAUAUAAAGCAUUGCUUUUUGUUAGAUUUUGAUUAGCAAUACUCAAUAUCUUAAACAUAGUGGCGUCAAUUGUUAGUCAAUACACAGUGAAAAUGUGUACUUGUCAAGCCAUUGAUCUUUGCCCAUGAUUAAUUUAUAAUACUGUUCGACCUCAAAUCAAGUAAGACUACCCGCUGAACUUAAGCAUAUCAAUAAGCGGAGGA